rnacentral:misc_RNA from 1 species
UUUCGUGAUCAGAAGUUUUAAGUAACGGCUUCUUGCCUAUCACAUCAACAUCUCGACAGGUCCCAAUCUUCCAAGCAGGAUAGAGCACAUAAUGUUGCAAAAUGAAGAGAAUGUCAAAGAAUAUCGAAACCAAUGACAAUAAUGUCUUGCCUAUGUUUCCAUAAAAGUUCACCCACGAAUUCUGAUCUAUAGAUUGCACUGCCAUCUGCCCGUAAUUUGUUAAACCUCCAAACAAAUCCAGCAAAAUGUUACCAAUACUAAAACCAACAGUGCUCUUUCUCCGGAAGUUCAUAACAGCCUGGGGAAUGUACUUGGUUACUGUCAUAGCAACCUGCAAUCCGUUGAAACAG